rnacentral:tRNA from 1 species
AUAAAUAUAGUUUAAAAAAACCCUUAUAUUUUCAAUAUAAUAAUGAUAAAAAAUUAUCUAUUUAUU